rfam:Morus notabilis contig12151, whole genome shotgun sequence.
AAGGCAGGGAUUGUGUGUAUCGGCGUUGUGCUACAAUCAGUGCACUCUGUUCCGAAAGAGUUCCUUGCGAAAUCAACUUCUGGGGAAGGUGGGCAGUUGUAUUUCAUCUUCAUCGUUGAAAUCUCAACAAUCAUCUUCCGCACAUUU